GAUGAAGAACGUAGCGAAAUGCGAUAAGUAAUGUGAAUUGCAGAAUUCAGUGAAUCAUCGAAUCUUUGAACGCACAUUGCGCCCGCCAGCAUUCUGGCGGGCAUGCCUGUUCGAGCGUCAUUUCAACCCUCAAGCUCUGCUUGGUGUUGGGGCCCUACGGUUGACGUAGGCCCUUAAAGGUAGUGGCGGACCCUCUCGGAGCCUCCUUUGCGUAGUAACUAACGUCUCGCAUUGGGAUUCGGAGGGACUCUUGCCGUAAAACCCCCAAAUUUUCUAAUGGUUGACCUCGGAUCAGGUAGGAAUACCCGCUGAACUUAAGCAUAUCAAUAAACGGAGGA
rnacentral:misc_RNA from 1 species